GCCAGACUCCUACGGGAGGCAGCAGUGGGGGAUAUUGCACAAUGGGGGGAACCCUGAUGCAGCGACGCCGCGUGGGUGAAGGAGCGUUUCGGCGCGUAAAGCCCUAUCGGCAGGGAAGAAGGAGGACGGUACCUGACUAAGAAGCCCCGGCUAACUACGUGCCAGCAGCCGCGGUAAUACGUAGGGGGCAAGCGUUAUCCGGAUUUACUGGGUGUAAAGGGGGCGCAGACGGCGAUGCAAGCCAGGAGUGAAAGCCCGGGGCCCAACCCCGGGACUGCUCUUGGAACUGCGUGGCUGGAGUGUAGGAGGGGCAGGCGGAAUUCCUGGUGUAGCGGUGAAAUGCGUAGAUAUCAGGAGGAACACCGGUGACGAAGGCGGCCUGCUGGACUGCAACUGACGUUGAGGCCCGAAAGCGUGGGGAGCAAACAGGAUUAGAUACCCGAGUA
rnacentral:rRNA from 1 species